GAAAACCAAAGAGACACGUGUCUAGUAGCGAAAAUUCUUAGUUAAUCCAUCCUAAAAAUAUAACUUAACGCGUGAGCUAGAUAACCUAUGUAGCUCGGCGAAGCUUAGCUUGGCCGAAUGAUAAACUCGGGUUACGAAGAGUCUAAAAGCAUUCGUCGUGUUUCAAUGGAUCGAGUUGAAAGAAAAUAAAAUAAAAAGAAGAAAAAAAAGACAUAAAAAAGACGAAGAAAACAAAAGGAGAAGAAAAAGAGGAGAAAGGAAAAGAAGAAGAAGAAGAGGAGAAGGAGGAGGAGGAAGAGAAAGAGGAAGAAGUUUCUCCAAGUAACUUGUCUAUUUCCUGAUAGUAACCUCUCCCACGCGGCAUCAAAUGGAAUUCAAUCAAACUUACGAAGCUUUCGAGAACGUACCUACGGGGUUUUCUCGUUUGUCUGUUCAAGAUGCUUCUGGAUUAUAGCAGAGCAAACAAGAGAAUGAACGAUGAAGAAGUACGAGUAGGAGUAAGAAUAGGAGGAGGAGGAGGAGGAGGAGGAGGAGGACUAAAAAGGAACGAUAACAACGACGCAAAGGAUCGGCCACGUUUUCUCUCGUACUUAUGUAUGUGUACUUUGAGAAAGGAGUUUGCGAGUAUUUUUUUAUCAGGAAGAAGGAGUGCUCGAUGAUGAAUAAAAAAAAAAUAAGAAAGAAAAAAACGAAGAAACGGAAGAAGACGAAGAAGACGAAGGAAGGAAGGAAAGAAGGAAGGAAGGAAGGAAGGAAGAAGGAAGGAAUGGGAAAGGGAAGAGAAGGGAAGGGUCUCGUCGUGAGGAAAAUCAAUGUGGUCAGAGAUAGAGAAGUUUGUGAGAGUAAGGAAGAAGGAAGAUAGAGGAUUCGAAGACGAGGAUCCUUUAUGUCGGGUCACGUCUUUAAUAUACUUCGCGUGGGAGGUGUCGUCCGGUACAAAAGCACUUACGCGGCACGUACACGAGCAUUAACGAAAACGACGUCGGAGAAUCAGAACGACGACAAAGAGGGAAAAGACGAGAAGAAGAAGGAGGAAAAGGAGGAGAAGGAGGAGGAAGAAGAGGAGGAAGAAGAGGAAGAGGUGGUGGAGGAAGAGGAGAAAGAGGAGGAGGAUGAGGAGGAGAAGGAGGAGGAGUUAAGACGGCGGCAGUCCUCUUAAUGCAUCGCGCAUUUGCGUUUCUUAUUUCGUCCGGUCUCUGAGUGUGAGACAAAGAUAUACAGACAGAGAGAGAGAGAGAGAGAGAGAGAUAGAAUAAACGCUUACUUGACUGCAUUCAAAGAAUGCGUUCUUCUUCUUGGCCAGUUUCGAGAGUAGAAAAUUUUAUUUCGAAAUUAACGAGUAUUUUCUUUGUUUCGAAUAAUCAACAAAUCUAACGAUAGGUUUUACAUAUUUCUCUUUUUUUUUUUUCUUCUUUUUUUUUUUUUGUUCUUCGUAAUGUUUAUAGACGAGAUAAUGUAUACAGACGAACGGAGAAUGAGAUAAGGUUUUCUAAUUUAAAAUUUCUACGGAAGAAUAUUGUAAAAAUGUUCUUCCCUCUUCGUUACUUUGUAAUUGUAAUCGGUAUUAAAUAAUUGUAAGAGUUUAUAUUUUUUAUGAUUAUUCAUAGAAUAGGUAAUUAAUUCUCUUUUUUUGCUAUUAGGAUUAAUAUGGAUGGAUGGAUGGAUAGAUAGAUAAAUAAACUAAAGUAGGAUAAGAUGAUAUCGUCGAAUAGAAAAUUGUUAUUUUUAAAUAAUUAUAAUAACGAUUAAUUGUUAAUUUUCUUCAUAAACACAUUUAAGAGGUUAACAUUUUUAUGAUACUCAUAGAAGUACUAUUUUACCAAGGCAAUAAAAGUGAUUCGAAGAACGACUGUGAACGAUAAAGCGUGUAAUUACGCUCGGCUCGAAGCAUAAGAGCGUUGUAUGUAUGUACUUUUCGAACUACGUCAUCGACUAGCGCGUUACUCAUCGAGCCUAAAGAGGUCUUUCUUAUUUCGUAUAUAUAUAUAUGUGUGUAUAUAUAUACACACACAUACAUAUGUAUAUGAGGUGUGUGAGUAGCCAUAUCUACACGUAAAUACGAUCUCCACGUAUAUUAAGAAUAUUAGAAAAUCAAUCGAAUACAUAUGUAAAUCAGUCGAAUAUAUACGAAUGUAUAUGUAUAUAAGUAUAUGAAAAUGAUCAUUAAUACUAAAACGAUAA